rnacentral:rRNA from 1 species
UACGUAGGGGGCAAGCGUUGUCCGGAUUUAUUGGGCGUAAAGAGCGUGUAGGCGGCCUGACAGGUCUGCUGUGAAAACUCGAGGCUCAACCUCGAGAUGUCGGCGGAAACCGUCUGGCUAGAGUCCGGAAGAGGAGAGUGGAAUUCCUGGUGUAGCGGUGAAAUGCGUAGAUAUCUGGAGGAAUACCGGUGGCGAAGGCGGCAUCCUGGACCGGCAUUGACGCUGAGGCGCGAAAGCCAGGGGAGCAAACGGG